rnacentral:rRNA from 1 species
AUUGAACGCUGGCGGCAGGCUUAACACAUGCAAGUCGAACGAGUGGCGGGCGGGUGAGUAAUGCUUGGGAAUCUAGCUUAUGGAGGGGGAUCACUACGGGAAACUGUAGCUAAAAACGCGUACCAUAGGCUGAGCCCAAGUGGGCUUAGGUAGUUGUUGAGGUAAAGGCUCACCAAGCCGAAGAUCUCUAGCUGGUCUGAGGGGAUGACCAGUCAAACUGGGACUGAGACACGGCCCAGACUCCUACGGGAGGCAGCAUUGGGGAAUAUUGCACAAUGGGCGAAAGCCUGAUGCAGCCAUGCCGCGUGUAUGAAGAAGGCCUUAGGGUUGUAAAGCACUUUCAGCGGGGAGGCGUUACCAGCAGAAGAAGCACCGGCUAACUCCGUGCCAGCAGCCGCGGUAAUAC